CCUUAUUAGGAGUACUGCAGGUCCCUCUUCGUGGUGGGAAGGGGUGAUUUCUGCCUGGGAGGCUGAGCCGAGCUUUCGUUUUGGGGGCAGGUUGGGUGGAGGGGGGGCCGGCGAGUGGGGCGCUCCUGGAAGAGCCCAGAGUCUUUUCUUCCCCAAGAGUUGGCCAGUUGAGCCCCCCCCCCCCAAACCCACCUCCGGGAGCUCCUUACCUUUCAGGCUGCAAAGCCAAGCAUUCUCCACGAAUUCACCUCCCCCCCCCUUUGCAUUGAGAUCCUUUUAAACCAGCUUCCCAGUGAUCGGUAUCUGUACUGGGUUGGGAUUUGGACUGGCAGGAGGCGCCUGCAGACUGGGAAGGCGGUGGGCUAAGGAGAGUCGCCUGCCUCCCUUCGCUGUCUGGGGGAGAAGGUGGGUCUCCUUUUCGUCAUACUGUACAGGACCCAAAGCAAAAGGUUUAUGCCCAUCCCUCUGUAAAAGGAGAAGAUCUGUUGUCCCUCUGGAGGUGUUCCAAAAAAAAGGUACCAGGUUUGACCAGUUGGAAGUCUUGUAAUGCUAUCACACAUCAAGGGCAGAGAAUCUUGGGUGCUGUGGAUGAAAAAUCCCUUGGCCUUCUCUGUUCAACAUAGACUUAAUCUGAACCACCAUCUGUGAAGCAGUUUCUGUUUAUCAGUCCUGUGCCACAUGUCCAAAUUUUGUUUUGGGUGCAGAAGACCUCUGAAGUUGUUCAUCCUGUCCUCUGGCAGGACACACAAGAGAAAGAUUUGCAUUACCAGAUACUGAAAAUAGGCUUGGAACACAUCCUUGCUUGUCUCUUCUCUAUGAAGGAAUGGAAACAGGAUCUUUGGAGCCAGAACAGGAUGCUGUAGUUUUUGAGGACAUCGCUGUGUAUUUCUCUGAGGACGAAUGGGCACUCUUGGAUCCAGGCCAAAGGGUUCUGCACAGGGAAGUCAUGGAGGAAAAUGUUUCAUGUGUGGUUUCUCUGGGUAAGCUUUCUUUUACAUUCCAUUGUGGCAGUUUUAAGAGAAUCAGCCACAUCAGUCUCUUUCAACUAGAAUAAAACCUUCAGAACACAUCCAAAGAGCCCGAAAAACCCACAACAACCAUCAGUUACUCUUAUUGUUUCUCAUGUUCCAUGCAUUCAAAGGCUUUGCUUUAAUUAUAAACACAAAGUGAUUUUCUGAAAUUUAGUUUAUUCCAGCAGCUAGCAUAUAUAUAUAUAUUUGCAUUGUGAUCUCUAGUGCCUUUUCCUUUUCAGAACCCAACUUGAACAUUGAGCAUUUUUGCUGCAUAUAGGACAAAAGUCUUUGUUACAAAACUGAACAUUAUUUUGCUGUUCAGUUAAAUGCAGUGGUCUUACAGUUAUUGUACUCUUCUAUGUCUUCUUUAUUGGGGAUUGGAACAUAUCUUAGAUGUUUCCAGUCUGUGGACAAUUGUUUGGUUUUCUCUGUUUGUUGUCAUCAUCUUUAGAUUCAGUUUCUGUAGCUUGGAAUAGUUCUAUCAUAUCUCAUCUACAUCUGGUGAUUUAUUUUUCCUUCGAAGUGCUUUAUAAGUGGUUUUUACUUCAUUUUAUAAAAUUGCAGGGUUCUUCUACAAAGGAAUCUAUUAGUUUUUUAAAAUGGCUAGAGCAAAGCAUGCCCCCUUCUCCUCACAUCUGCUCCCUGUUGUUGUAUCUUGGAUUUUGUAAUUCCUUUCCCCAUUUCUGUCCUCAGUGCCUAAGAGUUGUUUUCUGUGCAAAAUUGGUCACUGGCUUCCUAUACAGAACAGCAAAGGCGUUGGAAUGAUGCUGGGAGCAUAUUCUUGCCCAUCUCUCUGUCCUGCAAGAGUGGAAACAGCUUCUGUGCAAUCUAAUCUGGUUGGUGCAAAUAGUUGGAAAGGUCCUGCGUGCUUCUCUCCCUCAGACAGCUCUCUGAGCUUGAAGGU